CAGUCGUACCUGCGGAUAAUCAGCUUUUUGAGUGUGAUUAUGUGGAUUGUGAGGAGUUUAAUCACCCUCAUGUUUUACGUAUUCGCGCUCUUGGGUGUACUUGCCCGUGUGGUAGGUUAACAUCAAUUUUGGUCGUCAUAAAAUGACUGGAGGAAUGUAGCUUUGGUCUCGUAUCGAAGUGUUAUAGACUCUGGUAGAUGUGACGAUUGGGAUUGAGGUAUUGCAACGGAUACCCGUUCGGGGCCUACCCGUCUGAUCU
rnacentral:rRNA from 1 species